UUUGAAGUAACUUUUGCCGUAUUCUGAUGCGAUCUCGUCGUACGAGGGACUCACUGGUGUUGAUGAGGAACUGAUUGGAGACCCCCGGAUGGUCCACAUCAUGGAUGGCGGCGGCGAAGAGGGCGGCGAGGAUCUCCAGGUGUAACGUACGUCGAGGGCCGGCGUGGAGAGGAGCACAUGAGUGGACUGCGUGACGUCGGCGGCGUGGAGGCUGUUGUGGUACGCUACGUUGCCGUGGUAAUGGUCCUCCAGGGUCAUCACGAUGAUGGCUUCACUCACCCAGGAAAGUGCUGGAGAUGUACUCUGACACCUGGUUUCCGGAGCGACUCAUCUCAGAGAGGUAGUUUGAAUGAAACUCAAGUAUUCCUUUCCCCUACCUUGUUGGACGCCAUCUCGCUGACUGAGCGGUGAGUCUGGAUGGUUUCCAGCUGGUCCAGACACCAGUCCAAUUCUUCCAGCGUGUCCAGAGCGAGCUGCUGGUACUGCUGGUCCGACAGCGUGGCCCUGGGACUCACGCACACCCCACCCAGUGGCGACCUCCUGAGCAAGCAAUUGUCUUUUUUUUUUGUUUUCUUUCUUGCGAGCUGAAAGCGUGCGAGCAUCAUCUAAAUGGAUUCCUUUGCGCAGACCUUCCCGGCGAGCACAAAGGAAGGUCAGAACGUGUGAAAGUCACCAGUUACCGACAGCACGCUGCGGCUCUUCUUCAUUCUGAUUGGCUCGUUCUGGGCCCCAGGGCGGAGCGUUCCGGAACCCAGGCAGCAGAGCAGGUGGAGAGCCAGGACCGGAGAGAUUUCCUCUCGCCUCCACGUAGAAGAGCCGCACACGCGGGUAGGCGCAGAUCUCCCCAAGUGACAUGCCGUAGAUGAGAUCGACAGAUUCGUAUGACCUGAUUUCAGUCCUCUUGGCAGAAAAAGGGACCCACAAUCCCGAGUCGAUGGACUUCGCUAGGGGUGCCUGCCCUCCUGUGGAGACCACCGGAUCGUCAUCAUCAGCAGCAGCAGCAGCAGCAGCAGCAGCAACCAUCAACUCACAUCAGGGUCCUGACAGAGAAACGACCAGCGGGUCAGAACCUCUGCGUGUGUUUACGGCAGUCGGAGCGGCACAACAGGAUCGAUACGCCGUGCGUUUGUGUGCAAACGGAGUGAAACAAGAAACUCUCGGAAGAGGCUCACGGGCCGUGUAAACAAACACACUGUGAGCUGCAGUCGCACGAGGGGAACAAAUACGGACACGGAUGUAUUUUAUCAUCUCUCCGUUAUUGAAAUGACCAUCUGUAUAUUUUCGGAACCUUAUGUGUGUGUCCGUGGGGUGUUUACCUUGGGCAGUGACUCGUAGACCUCGACGGGGUCUAGACCACCGGGUCCCAGUCUUUUCCGCUUCUCCUCCAUCUCCAGCCCAGGGCCUCUUGCGUACGCAUCGGUGCGCAGCGCCCCACUCGCUCCUUCAGCAGCUCCAGCUCGCGCCGGCGCCCGCCCGGACCGGUCGGCACUCCGCGGCGCACGCGAGGCCGGCGUCACCCUCGAGGAUCUCGACUUUGCCUUCUACUGACCUUCAUACUUUGGAAGAACUGCCUGAAGCAGCCUCGCGGGUCGGCCUUCAACGCUCGGCCUGGAUCCAAGAGGGACUGCAUGACUAUGGCCUGGUGGGCCACCUGCUCCAUCGCGGCGUGCUUCUGAACAGAAACAGUUUGCUCACCUCCGCCCGGAAUCGGUUCACCUCGUCCGCCCUCCAUCGCUCGGAGUCGUCCCCGGGCCUCGUCCAGGAGCUCGCCGCGUUCUGCGAGGUUGCUCUCCAGGUCCUCUCCCCUCCGCUGGAAGGUGGCAUCUUCUCCAGAUACACCUAAUGCCCCCAUGGAAUGGAGAACAAGCUCGGCAUGUCGACUUAAGGGUUUGUGACGUCAUCGUCGUCCGAAACGUCGCUGUGAUCUCAGGCGCUGUAGUCGAUGUGGGACCCGGUUCCGGUCAUCCUCCGGUGCCAAAUGUGUUCAGCCGCGACGUUCUAACCGACUUGGUGAUUUCAUACACAGGUUAAACGCCUCACCGAUCCUCUUCAUGAGCCACAAGCUGUUGACGCAAAUCCUGUUGUUGAUUUUUUAUUUAGCUGCUAGCUGUAGCGGUGUGUCCUCGCUUUGUUUUCUCUGCUACCCAAUUGGUGGAAGUCAGGGUUGUUACUCAUGCUGGCCAAUGAGGUUUCAUUUUAUUGAAACGCUCUAAAACUGGCGGCUCAUUCAUGCUAGCUAACAAACGGCUAAUGCUAGGUCACAACAAUGUAACACACAAGACAUUCAAAGGACUACAUUUUAUUUCCCUACUGACAAUAGUAACAAUGAUAAUACAUACCUUGCAUUUCAGUAUCAAUAUUUAAAAUUGUGCAUCCAUAUUCUCUCGCUCAUCCAUGGAAGCAAACCAUUACCCUAUUGUUAACUUAAUGAAUAUUAAUAUAUGUGAUAAAAAGAACAAUUAGGGUAUUUUGCAAAUACUAAAUGGCUAUACGGUGUGUGUGUAUGUGUGUAUAUAUAUAUAUAUAUAUAUAUAUAUAUAUAUACAAAUUGUCAUUAUUAUUCUCUAAUUGCAAUUUUCAGAUGGGCAGUAAUAUAAUAUUCUCCAGUACAUCAUUUAUCCAUGCUAGCGAACCACUACACUCAGUGAAUUAAAUGAAUAAUGUUUGCGAAAUGCAAUAAUUCGGUUAUUUGAACAAAUAACAGUACCACUCAUCAUUUUGUCAUCAUUCUCGUUUUAUUUUAAUUUCAGCUUCUCAGUAUUAUGCUGCAGAUUGGUGCAAUGUGACAAAAAAAAAAAAACAUUUCAAGAAAAUAUACAUAUCUUUAUAAAUACAUUUGAAAAAUAUAAAAUACGCCGCACAAUUUAGUCCACAUCUGGAACCAUUAUCACAGUAUGUAUUAUUAAUAGCGACGUGUGUGCACUUAUUGGACCCCAGGAUCCAACAAAGGGUAUAUAAAACAGAUAGGGCAAGAACAGGAUGUACAGUUGUGUCCAGGCUUGUAGACAAUCAAAAAACAUCCUCCACGUAUGUGAAGGUAUUUGAGGAGGGGAAAAAAAAAUGGGGGGUGGGGGGUUGUUUACAUUCAGAUGCAUGAAUGGCACUAGUAUUGUAUUUCAGCAUGGACGUGGACACAGCAGCAAAUUUAAAAUAGCAAGGCCUGUCACAAGUUCAGUUGCAUGCUGGGCUCCAUUACAGCUUGAUCGAAGAGGAACUUUAUCACCCCCCCCCCCCAACCCCCCGCAAAAAUGUAACUCAACAUUUUUAUUUCUAACCUGUGUCAUAAACGCCCAAGUUGCUGUGAUGUGCCAAAAAGACCCCUCCCUUUGAGGCUUUAACUUUUGCAAUAAACAGGAAAGCAAAACGACUUCCCGCAGUUACGUCGAUGCCUUUGAGAUCCUCUGUGCCUCCCCCCUUGUAGUUAGUGUUACACUUCAAGGAAAGAUUAGUUAUUUUACACGAAAUGCAUGACCGCAAAAGGUAAUAUUGACCCCCCCCCCCCCGAAAGAAAAAAUAGUUUAGCUUCAUAUCCUUAGCCUGCUUUCCCAUACUCACAGUUUUGUUUUAAACUCACCCCCAGUUGCCACUUUCUCUUGGCAACAUGCAAUUUGGUAGCCAUGUUUCUUUCACACAGGUAGACUUUACAAAAAAAAAGUUCCAAAAACCGAAAAGAAACAUUCAUUUAAGGGGCACUUCGACCAUUUCUAGUGGUCCUUGACCCAAAAAAAGAUUUUAUCCGACUCCUCCCAAAUUUGAGCCUCGGAUCCUAGACGGACGGGCGACCCUAAAUUGCAUUUGCGUUUUCGACAAUGUGCAUGCCCCCUACCCAAAAAAAACCCGUUAGCGCCAUAGUAACUCAGCUCCACUAAAUCCAGGCUUAACUAACUUAUUAAGUGUCCCAAUCCGGGCCCCUGCAUCCCCGCAAUCAGCUUUAGUUUACAUAGUCUAUUUUUUUUUUGAUUAGCGUUAAAAUGAUUGCGUAAAAUGACCAAAGUGGAUGAAACAUGAUUUACAAUUAAUAUAGAAAACGCAUUACCUUGCAGAUACAUGAAGUUCUUUUUGCUUGUUUAAAAAAAAAAAGUUUCAUGAAUUUAGGUUUUUUUUUUUUUUUUUUUUUUUUUUUUUGGAUGUGCAUGGUGUCAAACUCAAGGCCCAGAAGCCAGAUCCGGCCGGCUACAUGAUUUUAUGUGGCCCGCGGAGGCAAAUCAUGUGUGCCGACGUCCAUGAUUUUUUUUUUGUUUCAAAUCUGUACCAAAAUCUCAAACUGUCAUAUCAUAAAUGAUAAUUACAAGCAUUUUUGUGUGACCAAACAACAAUAGUUGGGAAAACCCAUUACCCUUGAUUUCUGAUUCCAAAACUAGUUCAUAAAUUUCACAUGUAAAUAUGAUGAAGCGGUUAAAGAUUUUUAUUGUUUUACAGCCAUAAAGGCCCUUUGAGAGAAACCGUGAGUACGAUGUGGCCCCCGACAAAAUAGAGUUUGACACCUCUAAUCGAGUGGAUUUAAAGUGAACUGCAUUUUUUUAACAAAAUAGCUCUAAUCUGUAACUACUUGAUAUCCACAUAUAAAGUUUAGAAUUGCUUAUAGAGGUGCCAGAUGGCACCAAAGCACAAAUUUUAUAUUACACAUGGUUUCAGCCUGAACAUAGAAACAGCAAAUAAGUGACCCCCCCCC